rnacentral:rRNA from 1 species
ACUCCUACGGGAGGCAGCAGUGGGGAAUAUUGGGCAAUGGGCGAAAGCCUGACCCAGCGACGCCGCGUGAAGGAAGAAGGCCCUCGGGUUGUAAACUUCAGUCAACAGGGAAGAAACAAAUGACGGUACCUGUGGAGGAAGCCACGGCUAACUACGUGCCAGCAGCCGCGGUAAUAC